GGCAGGGUGGUUCAUUGGUAGAAUCCUUGCCUUCUGUGCAGGAGACCCAGGUUCGAUUCCCUGCCA
rnacentral:tRNA from 1 species